GACGAACGCUGGCGGCGUGCUUAACACAUGCAAGUCGAGCGGUAAGGCCCUUUCGGGGGUACACGAGCGGCGAACGGGUGAGUAACACGUGGGUGACCUGCCCUCAGCUCUGGGAUAAGCCUGGGAAACCGGGUCUAAUACUGGAUAUGACUCCAUGACGCAUGUUGUGGGGUGGAAAGCCUUGUGCGGCUGAGGAUGGGCCCCGNGGCCUAUCAGCUUGUUGGUGGGGUGAGGCCUACCAAGGCGACGACGGGUAGCCGGCCUGAGAGGGCGACCGGCCACACUGGGACUGAGACACGGCCCAGACUCCUACGGGAGGCAGCAGUGGGGAAUCUUGCGCAAUGGGCGAAAGCCUGACGCAGCGACGCCGCGUGAGGGAUGACGGCCU
rnacentral:rRNA from 1 species